GGGGCGUGGGCAAAGAUUCUAGAAGCUUUGGGCGUGGCCAAAUUAGCUGCAGAUCAUGAAUAUGUAAUGAGCAGCAGAAAACAGCAUACUCUGGAAGGGGCUGAAACAGAGAGUAAUAUAGGUGCUAUCCAGCAGUCCCAGCCUGGAGCCAGAAGCUGCUAUUGCAAGUCAGAUGGGGGAUGAAAGGUGGUGUAGGCAAGAAGGCAAGAGCUGCUGCAGGCAAUGUUGCAAUUAGAUGCUGUCUUCAGCGAACACAAAACCACCCUGACCCGAAUAAUGGACACCAUGGGAAGAAAUUUGAAGUAUGCACCGGAGAGGGUGGGUGGUGGUGGCCGUCGGAAGACACUCCCUGCUGUUGCUGAAUGAUGCCAUCAGUAUACAUGCACAGCCUCUCGCAGAGGCGUAUCAAGCUUUUUAAAAGUGUGGGGGUUUUGAGAUAGGGAAGUGAAACAAUCUGGCCAAAUUAUAAAUAACUCCCUACAGACAUGUUGUAAGUAUUUUCUGAGAGGGAUGCGGACUAUAUUGGAGGUUGUUGGAAUGUUUUGAAAUUCUGAUUGCUAAAUAGCCUACACCAUUUUAAUGUAGUUUGAGAGGGACAGAACAAGCAGCGCCCGUAGCACACGUAGCCUAGGCCUACAUUAUCUACCUGCUAUCACUGCACUAUUAGCCUAGGCCUACAUUAUCUAUCUGCUAUCACUGCACUAUUUGACACUACCCUGGAGACACAUUUCAUGUUAUAAAUGAAGAAAUCAAUUCAGAAAUCAUGUUUUGUGCAUAUGGGUUAGCAGGCUACAAUAAAUUGCCUAACAGACAACAGCCUAAUUUCGAGGUAUCACUGGACUAUUAAUAUGCCUAACUAUAAUACCUAUUAAAUAAAUGUAAAGGACACAGAAUAAUGACAGAACUGUAAGCUCAAAUUCAAAAACGUUUCAA